UACGUAGGGCGCAAGCGUUGUCCGGAAUUAUUGGGCGUAAAGAGCUCGUAGGCGGCUUGUCACGUCGGGUGUGAAAGCCCGGGGCUUAACCCCGGGUCUGCAUUCGAUACGGGCUAGCUAGAGUGUGGUAGGGGAGAUCGGAAUUCCUGGUGUAGCGGUGAAAUGCGCAGAUAUCAGGAGGAACACCGGUGGCGAAGGCGGAUCCCUGGGCCAUUACUGACGCUGAGGAGCGAAAGCGUGGGGAGCGAACAGG
rnacentral:rRNA from 1 species